GUCACAUGACAGGCGAUUGGCUGAUGGCAGAUUUCACAUCUGGAGGUUUCUGCACCAGCCGAGCAACUGCCAUUGAAAUGAAUGGGAAUGCUAACGGAUACAUUUCUACAGUGGUGUUCAAGCAUGGACGAGAUAAUCAAGGAGGCGCUCUGACGUCGGCUUGGAUGAGGAAACCGUAGGACCACCCAUUGGGCUCGGAGGAGAGAGAUUCCCUGCACGCCGUCUCUCUGGAAUAUUAAUGGGCUUCUCCUGGGAAAACUGCCCACAGAAUGGGCCGCUCCAUCGCUGUCUCUGUUUCCGCUCAGCUGUCCUGAGGGUUCGUGAGGGUGUGAGCUGCUUCGGGACAAUCCGGCCUGGACGAACCUCAAGUACACCUCAAACUUGUGUUUUGAUGUUUCAUUAAGAACCCUUAAAGUUGACGUUUUCUUCCAGAAUGUCAGUAAAAUAUAUUGCUGUUUUUAUUGCGCAAUGAAAAACUCAGGAACGGCUACAUUUAAUAUGCGAAAUUCCUCAGUCUCAAUUUUAUUGCAGUAAUCAAUAAUAAGACAUAUUGAUUGAAAUUGGGAAUAGCUCGUUCGAGCACUGAGAAGAGGUGACACUGAUGGCGAUCACCACUGGUUUUCAUCAGUCUUUCCCACUCGAUGGCAGAGCUCGCGAGACAUUUCAUCUGGUUCAGCGUUAUGAGAGAGACCAUCCUAAUGGCUUCUACAGAUGCAGAGCUCGCUGAAGUCAUAGCUCUUUUCCUUCAAUCCCUCUCACAUUCUUUAUCUGUAUUUGACUCUCUGUCACUUGCUUUCAGUCAUUCCACCAUUUCCUCUGCCCCCGUCUGGGUCUCUGAGGUGAGGGUUGAGUUUUCUGCACAUUCAUGUGAAGAAUCUAGUCUUUAUAAGUGUGCCAAGCUGUGAAUAUAAAAUGAAUUUUUAAUGGCAUGGAAUUGCAAUUACAAACUGUGUUGGAAUUACAAAUGCACAGACAU